rnacentral:lncRNA from 1 species
AAAAGGAAGAAGAUAAUGUUCAACGUAAAAAUUUGGAAGACUGCCUACUCUGUUAGUAGAUUAUAAUAAAAAAUUUAUAACACAUUUUUUUUUUUUUGUUUAACGUUACAUUUUAAGUUAACAAUUGGUUCCAUGAUACGCUUAUAAAUUUUGCAUGUAUAAUACAAUUUUAGGGACCUAAUUUAUGAAGUUUGCCUCAGGCCUGACCGGCAUUGAGUCGCAGCUCAAUAAGAAGAAAACAUAGGUUAGAGUUUUCAAUUGCACAAAUUUAGGCUUUGAUAUCAUGAAAAGAAUAUAAACCAUAAUGAUACCAAUUUGAUUGAACAAGUAUAGAGAGGAAAACGAUGAUAAAGAACUAAGAUAGACUGAGUAAUGACGGCUUCAUUGAGCCACCAAAGUUAGGGUAAAAUAUGAGAUAAUGAGUUUAUAUACUACAAAAUAUAGGAAGAAGCAAAAGACCAAACUACCCUUACACUAAUAAGUUUAUUACAUUAACACGGAUGAAACCACAAUUCCUACAAAUUCUUUUAGGCAUCCUAAAAUGUAAAUUUCGACAUUUAUUAGAAAAUCUCCCACCAAUCCUCCAGCAUUUUAAGAAAAUGUUAUUUUGAAAAAAUCUCUCAUACAUACAUACAAAAAUUGCAAAUUGAUAAAGAUGUCUUUGGACUUGAACCCAACUUUAAAAAGGAUGUUGUUUUAAAAAAUCUCUCAUUAUACUUGCCAAGUUUACAAAUAGAUGAAGGCGUAUUUUGGACAUGAUACAUACUUAGCAAAAAUGUGUCACGUGUUAACUAAGGUGACAUGGUAGCUAGGCUUCAAACUAACAGUCCCCUACCAUUAAACAUGGAGUUCUCCAUGCACUAACGUGAACAUAUUUUUGGUGGCAUAAAGUUGACACAUGAAUAUUCAUGCAAUGGUAAUAAAGGUUUUGGUGGUUGAAGAGACUAUUUCAGUUAUGGUUUAGGGCUAACAGGCCAUGUGUCCUAUAUUUUGGUUUAAUUCGUGAAUAUCUUAAUUAGCUUGCUAAAUAACUUUGAGAAUGCCAGCAUAUCUAGAUAUUCUAUAGGCAUGUCUCUCUAUAAGUCUAUUAAGUGCUAGAUAGCUCAACCUCUCUUCCCAUGAUACGCUAACAAAAAACCUUUUGCAUUAGGAUUUCGAUUAAGUCAUAAAAAGUUCUUUACUCAUUGAACCUAAGACCUUGAUGUUUCAAGUCUUUGGUUGAAUUUCCGUAAUUGGUGAUUAUUAAUUGGCAACAAUCCAAAUCCCUUGUAAGGCCUUUCUUCAAAGAAUCCACCAAGUUUUUUCUUGACUUGACUUGAUCUAUGGUACUUGUACCAUCCAAAAUAAGUUAUCUUAUCAAAUAUCGACAUCAUAUAACGAUGAAAUGUUGUAUGACCUUUCCAUAAUCCAAACAAUAUCCUCAUGCAAGCAAAUGUGCCAUAUAGCAAGUGAAUAUAGUCUUCUCCUGACCUUCUGUACUAUGGGAAUUUGGUACCCCGAAUAACCAUCAAUAAAAUAGUAGUGAGAGUGAUCGAUAAGCCUUUCAAACAUCUAAUCAAUAAUAAGAAGAGAAGAAUGAUCAUUCCUAGUUGCCUUUAGUAGUCUCGUAGAGAAAAUGGCAAUCUUUAUUUUAUUCCACGGGUAUCUUAGCUGAGUAAUGAGGAUCUUAUUCUCUUAGCAAAUCUAGAAAUCAAUCUAACAAAGUAAUGGAAAAGGAUUUAUAAAGACGACCUUUUGUGGUGGGAUGUGGGCUGCAAAAUAUGGAUGAAAGAAAAGGAGGCCUUCUUUCAGUCAGUCCAAUUGACUUUGUCCUUCUUUGACAAUUUCUUCAAAAAUACUUCGGUUUAAUAUUUAAUUCAAAAUUUUCUGAUUCUCAUAUGUAAGAAUUUCCUGUUAAAUUCCUGGCCUGAUGAAAAUUCUUUUGGAUUCCAGCUUAAAAAACUCAUGUCAACCUCACAUUCAUCAUCCGAUUAAGAAUAAGAAAUGUACAUAGCCCAUGUAUAUAGCUACUAACAUAGGUUUUACAAUCCUAAGUUUAGUAUGCUUGUCAUCAUAUAUUUGAGUUACUUAAAAUAUAAAGCAUAUUUUUCGUCAGAAACCUAUGUCCUUGGUCCUCCCAUUGGUAUAAAAAUGUAAAACCCAUACAUAAAAAGACAAAUUUUGUAAGAAACGAAGAGGCUGUGUACCAUUUUUGGAAAUCUGAAUUUUGUGCUUUGUGUAUGUUCUCUUUCCCGUAUUUUCUGUUGGAAGAAUUUUGUGAAUAGUGACGCCGAAAUAAGUAUAAUGAUGGUGACAAAGCCGAGGCAAGAGUUGGACUCUUUGUUCUUAAGUCGAAUUUGCCCCGCAACGGUGCCUACGGAUUUCGGCAAUCGACUCCCAAGAUACAACGGCUACACCUGUGUUUGUAGCACUCCAAAACACAAGUACAACGAACCAAAUGUAGGCUUAUGUACUCCAAGGAUGAAAUGAAAGAAAAUCAAAAUAAAUGAAAUGAUUUUGAUUUUGGAUAGAAGAGAGGAUGAGAGACGUUUUUGCAUAUCAAACUGUGAGGAAUAGGACACCCAAAGGGUCCUAUUUAUAGACCAUGAAGGGGUGUGGACGAAAUGGUUGAGGCCAAACCAUGCACCCUUUCCACACAAUGCACCUUUAUGAAAAGGUGUCUAUUCACUAAUGGUUGAGGCCUUUUUCGUAAUUUCUCAUUCAUCCGAUAUUGAUUUUCGAAAUGCCAAAAACGGAUUGAGUCGAGCUUUUGAGUAUUUGGCCGAAUUUGAUACGAACUUUAAUCGAUUUUCAAUUCUCAAUUUAUUUAACCAAUAUCCAACAUUUUCCUCUCUUGAUUUACUAUAAAUUCCAAGCUUCACUGAUAAAGAAAACACUAUAAUCUUACCCCCUGGUACUGUUAACCAUCAUUGUUACUUGUUUUGUACUUCUUUCUUUUAUAUUUGCACCUUGUGCUUCUGAUCAAUUACCAGUGAAGAAUCGAAAAAGGUAAAGAAUUUAUCCUUUUUUUUGUUACGAUUUGUCUUCAACGGAAACUCUGCGCAAGCAAUGGUGGACGAAACUUCAGUCUUUUUAGUUUGAUGCAUAAUAUUGUGAGUUUUUUAAAAUGUGCAGCUCAUGAUGCAGCCCAACUUAAUCUUCUUCCAUUGCGGCAGCAGAAGCUCAAACUCAAUGAAGAGGAAUUGUACGAUUUUCUUCAUACCAUAUGAAAGAUUAAUUCAUUCUUCAUCAUGAAUGCAUGUGUUUCGCGCGAGUUAGUCGCUAACAAUUAAAAAGGAUCAGACGAUUGUGUAAGGGACAAACCUCUUGAGACAAAGUCCCAAAAAGGGGUGUUCUUUUAUUGGCGAUGACUUUACAAUUGGAAAUUAAAAACAACGUGCCUCCAAGGGACGCAAGCAUACGAGUUAUUGAAAGAAAAGUGUUUAAGUCUAAGCUAAAGAAAUGAAAAUUACAUGUUCUCUGUUCGAGAGUUUUUGAUUCGGUCCUUUGCUUCAAUGUCCUUUCUCCCUUUUAUACUUCAUGGACGAUCUCUUUGUGAUCAACCGCUCUAAUGAUCGUCCUAUAACUACCUACUUUCAUCGUAAUGGCCAACUUGUCAUGAAAACUUCCUUUUUUAACUGCUGCCAUUACUCUUCAUCGUUCAACCGCUUUCGAUUGAAUUCCUUGAAUCGUGGAACGUGAUAGGGUUGCUUUAAUAACUGCUUUGAUAACUGCACUUCUUGAUAACCACGACACUUUAUGUUUGUUAAGACCUUGGGCGACUUGAAGGUUUGGACGAGAAUAGAGUAACAGCUCUGGACGACUGUAUGACACUUCAUUCGCUCAGAUUCUGGGCGACUUGCAAAUUUGGGCGAUGGCAUUACCGCGUUCUUGGGCCUCCUUAUUCGGGCCUUCAUCUUGAUUUGUUUAAUUGUGCUUCGUUCUUUGGGUUAUCUGAUUUGGGGAUCCUCCAAUUGGGCUUCACUUUUUGGGCCGCUUGAUUUGGGCUGAAUUUUUAUGUGUCAACAGCAUGAACAUUUAUUUAUGAUAAAUCAUAGCUCCAUAUAAAUCCUAAAAUUAUAAUCUAGGAAUAGAAAAUUAUGGGAUGUUUUAAUAUCUUCGGUUUACACAGGUGAAAAGUGUAGAAGAGAGAUAUUUUGGACCAUACAAGAGGAAUAUGGAAGGUUCAUCAGGUAAGUUGAUUUUCAAGAACUUGCUGUAUGCCUCUUGUUACCAUUAGUGCAAAAUUAAGUUUUAACUAAAUUUUCACUACGAUCGAUUAGUUUUCCUUCCAUUAUGACUGAUGCACUUAACUAUUUUAUUCGUCAAACAACUUAAACUUUAAACGAAACAUUCAUAAAACUGGUUCACGUAAGGAAGAGCUGAUGCACUUUCAAAUGACAAAUUUGUCAUGUAGCCGUUGUUCAUAUCUAUUCCACGGCCAUAGCAUUCUAUUGAAACCCAUCCAGUCAGUUAAGACUAACGGCCUGCUUGGACUGCAUCUUGUUUUCAAGUUUUUAACACUUGUCCUUGAUAUUUAAAAAUUAAUUUUCCACCAAUUUCUUUUAUUUUCUUCGUCCAACGUGCUUUAUCUCACAAAACAUAAUACGAUCAAGUAGAUGCCGCAAGAAUGUGAGAAUAAACUGCAACAAAACCAAUAUUGCAUGUUCUCAUUAUAUUAUAAAUUUUCUUCUUUCAGGUAACAAACUACAUCGAAAAGAGAAAAUUUUGAAGCAUCCAGGAACAGUGGAAUGGAAAAAAUGGACUGAUCAAGGAGCCAAGAAAUCAGAAUGCCUCACGGUGGAUUAUGGUUGGGUUAGAUGACGUUAUCCAAUACACAACAAGAAUGUCCUAGUUGGUCCAUGAAAUAUGGGAUUAUCAUGUGUAUAAUCCUAGAUGUUUUGACACACAAUUUUUAAAAUUCAAAAAAGAAAAGAAAAAUCUAAGGGUCCGUUUGAUAGCAUUAAAUUCCAUGGAAAAUAUUAUAUCCAAGAAAUUCGUUUUCUACUUUGGCUGUUUAAUACGAAAGUGAAAAUGAAGUUCGGAUUCCAAGGUACAAACACUUAAAAGAAUGUUUUUGGUCAAUUAAGUGGAAAUCGAAUUCUCAUAAUUUUGAUGGUUUUUUCUUUUCUAAUUUACAUAGAAUUGAUUUGUCUUUUACCAUUUUUGCAAUCAAACGGACCCUAAGUGUUAUUGUAAUUAUAUGGAAAUGAGGAAAUAUAUCUCCUUGUAGCUUUAUUAUGGCCAUUAUUAUCAUGCAAACAAAAGCUAAAUGUAGUUGCAACAAUGGUCUUAUCUAUGCUUUUAUGGAAUUUCACUUUGUUUC